CAGCAGCCGCGGUAAUACGGAGGGGGCUAGCGUUAAUCGGAAUUACUGGGCGUAAAGCGUGCGUAGGCGGUUCGUUAAGUCUGUUGUGAAAGCCCCGGGCUCGACCUGGGAAUGGCAAUGGAUACUGGCGAGCUAGAGUGUGAGAGAGGUGUGUGGAACUCCGAGUGUAGAGGUGAAAUUCGUAGAUAUUCGGAAGAACACCAGUGGCGAAGGCGACACACUGGCUCAUUACUGACGCUGAGGCUCGAAAGCGUGGGGAGCAAACAGGAUUAGAUACCCCGGUAGUCCCUGUCUCUUAUAC
rnacentral:rRNA from 1 species